CCUACGGGAGGCAGCAGUGAGGAAUAUUGGUCAAUGGACGAGAGUCUGAACCAGCCAAGUAGCGUGAAGGAUGACUGCCCUAUGGGUUGUAAACUUCUUUUAUAAAGGAAUAAAACGAGGCACGUGUGCCUUUUUGCAUGUACUUUAUGAAUAAGGAUAGGUUAACUCCGUGCCAGCAGCCUCGGUAAUACGGAGGAUCCGAGCGUUAUCCGGAUUUUUUGGGUUUAAAGGGAGAGUAGAUGGGUUGUUAAGUCAGUUGUGAAAGUUUGCGGCGCAACCGUAGAAUUGCACUUGAUACUGGCAGUCUUGAGUACAGAUGAGGUAGGCGGAAUUCGUGGUGUAGCGGUGAAAUGCUUAGAUAUCACGAAGAACCCCGAUUGCGAAGGCAGCUUACUAAGCUGUGACUGACACUGAGGCUCGAAAGUGUGGGUAUCAAACAGGAUUAGAUACCCGAGUAGUC
rnacentral:rRNA from 1 species